GAUGAAGAACGCAGCGAAAUGCGAUACUUAAUGUGAAUUGCAGAAUUCAGUGAAUCAUCGAGUCUUUGAACGCACAUUGCGCCCUCUGGUAUUCCGGAGGGCAUGCCUGUCCGAGCGUCAUUGCUGCCCUCAAGCACGGCUUGUGUGUUGGGCCCCGCCCCCCGAUCCCGGGGGGCGGGCCCGAAAGGCAGCGGCGGCACCGCGUCCGGUCCUCGAGCGUAUGGGGCUUUGUCACCCGCUCUGUAGGCCCGGCCGGCGCCUGCCGAUCAACCAAACUUUUUUCCAGGUUGACCUCGGAUCAGGUAGGGAUACCCGCUGAACUUAAGCAUAUCAAUAAGCGGAGGA
rnacentral:misc_RNA from 1 species